ensembl:lincRNA
AAACAUAAAAUAUUUGAGGUAAUAUUCUACAGUUUAUUAGAUCAGUUGAGACUUUGUGGAGGAAAGUGGAGGUCACUGUUUUUACACAAGCUUAAGCAACAACAGGCCUAUAGAAAUUUAAGGUAGGGAGAUGCUCCUUUUAUUACAGUUUAUUGAAAGACGUCACCAAUGAGUUGACCAUGUAUAUAUUUUUUUAUUUUUUCACUAUUUAUAGAUAUUUACAGCUUUUCUUAAAAAGAUCUUUGUAUUUUUUAAGAAAAGCUGUUACGCAGCAGCCACUGGAGAGCUGUACUACAGUGGGUGAGUCGAAAACCAGGCCUGGAUGACAAAAUGUUAAAAUGCAAGCGGAGAAUGGCAGGAUCAGAAAGUAAGGGAGAUCUGAUGCAGGCAAAGGAAACUCCAAAAAGAACGGGCUUUCGAAAAAGAAGUGAGGUUUCCAGCCAAAAAAUAAAAAAGGGAGGAAGCUGUCGAGCCGAUGGUGUAAGAAUAAUUAAAAAAGGGAAAAAAAACACAAAGUGAUGAACUCAAGAUGGACGUUCUUGCCUGAACCGCAUUCCCCAAGCAGCAAUGGGGAAUGACCUGCCAUCCUCAGUCACCUGAACAACCGACCAGAAAUGUCAGGGAAAGCAGCAAGAUCCUCUGUGAGGUGUCCGCACCAGUGGGCGAGAAGGAAAGAACAUCUUACUGAUGGAACUUGUGAGGUUUUUCAUUUCUGGGAGGGGGGACUUUUUUUUAUUUUUAUUUUUUUAUUUUAUUUCUUGUAACUAGUUUAUAAAUGUAUUGUCAAUUCAAAGCUGUUUUAACUAAGUAGACACGGGUAAUUAUGUAUUGUGAGUUAAACGCAAAUAAAAAGAACUAUAACUUUUCUUUUACUGUUGCAUUUAUUUGACUGUUUUGCCAAUGAUAGCCUGGCAUGUGACAGCCUGCCUCCAGGUGUGCCACACUGCAUGUUACUAAGGCUUGUUUUAAUUCACGAGAGUUUGAAUUCCUUCUUUUACUAAAGGACAUUCAUUAUCGAACCGUUUAAUGCAGAAAUUUAUCUCCAACAUAAUUAAACAGUUCUAAAUGUUAAACUGUUAUCUUUAUCUAUAGCUGUUUGCCAAGUCUGUUCAUUUCUGUCAUAUAUUAGCAGAUGGGAGCUGUUGGCCUUCUAUAAAAAGAAAGACAUCUAGAAAUUCAAGCCUGCAUUUUGUUUCUCCCACCAACUACCCAGUCUCGUUAGAAAUUGCAUCAUAAGAUGUUUCUGAAGACCAAGUUCUUUUUCUUCCAUAUUACUUCUAUGACAAACAUAAGCUGGAAAAAAAAUCUAUUUUAAACAAAAUAUUGUGCUUAGUUUUUUUACAUUUUGUCUGCUUUUCACUUAAUGUUUAGCCUUCUGCCUGACGAUUUGGUUCAAGCUUAGUUAACACUGACAGAUCUAAGAUCUGUAUUUGGUACUUCAAAAAGAUUACUUUUAGAUUUAUGGGUGUGUAGAAAGGUGAUUUUAAAGAAGGGGAACAUAUGAUAAUGAGUCAAUUAAAUUUGAUUGGUAAAUGUGAUUCAUAUUAAUCGCCGUUUGUGAGGCUGAUCAUAGAUUGUCUAACUUGAAAUGUCCUUGUGUGUUUUUAAAGAUUUCUUACAUGAAUAAAAGACUUCUAAAUAAUGAGCUUUGUUUCCUCUCACACA